rnacentral:SRP_RNA from 1 species
CCGUGCUAAGCGGGGAGGUAGCGGUGCCCUGUACUCGCAAUCCGCUCUAGCGAGGCCGAAUCCCUUCUCGAGGUUCGUUUACUUCAAGGUCUGCCUUAAAUAAGUGGUGUUGACGUCUGGGUCCUGCGCAAUGGGAAUUCAUGAACCAUGUCAGGUCCGGAAGGAAGCAGCAUUAAGUGAAACCUCUCAUGUGCCGCAGGGUUGCCUGGGCCGAGCUAACUGUUUAAGUAA